GGUGAAAUAGUGGUAAGGCGUCGGUCUCGUAAACCGAAGAUCCAGGGUUCGAUCCCCUGCUGAGCCU